rnacentral:rRNA from 1 species
UGGGGAAUUUUGGACAAUGGGGGAGACCCUGAUCCAGCCAUCCCGCGUGUGCGAUGAAGGCCUUCGGGUUGUAAAGCACUUUUGGCAGGAAAGAAACGUCAUGGGUUAAUACCCCGUGAAACUGACGGUACCUGCAGAAUAAGCACCGGCUAACUACGUGCCAGCAGCCGCGGUAAUACGUAGGGUGCAAGCGUUAAUCGGAAUUACUGGGCGUAAAGCGUGCGCAGGCGGUUCGGAAAGAAAGAUGUGAAAUCCCAGAGCUCAACUUUGGAACUGCAUUUUAAACUACCGGGCUAGAGUGUGUCAGAGGGAGGUGGAAUUCCGCGUGUAGCAGUGAAAUGCGUAGAUAUGCGGAGGAACACCGAUGGCGAAGGCAGCCUCCUGGGAUAACACUGACGCUCAUGCACGAAAGCGUGGGGAGCAAACAGG